rnacentral:rRNA from 1 species
AUGGGCGGCAUUAUUGCUAGACGGUUAAGUAUGAACCAUACUAAGGGUCCCAUCUUUGGAGGCAUCUAUGCUACACGCCUAGCUGCACAUUUUAACAUACCUAUUAGGCAUGCUGAGAAGGAAGAAAAAGUGCUGCCUCGUGUUUAUUUAGACUAUAAAAGUAUGGUGGCACAUGAUUUUAUUGUUAAGAAUAGGGCAGGAGAGCUUAAAUACCAAUUGUUCUUUAAUAAACAUCAUCCUGAGACUAUUACCUUGCCUGCUCCUGCUUUGUUUGAUUUGACUGUAGGCAAGUACCUUGUUCCGUUGACGGCUAUCCACGCCUACUGGAACCCUGCACCAGCCGAGGAGCCAGAAUCGGAACCACAAUUUGAUCCUUCAUGA